rnacentral:rRNA from 1 species
AGGAUUAACGCUGGCGGCGUGCCUGACACAUGCAAGUCGAACGAGGCCGCAAGGCCGAGUGGCGGACGGGUGAGUAACACGUGACCAACCAACCUCGAAGUUGGGAAUAGCUCUGCGAAAGUAGGGGUAAUACCGAAUGUGGCCCAGGGCGGGCAUCCGCCUUGGUCUAAAGAUUCAUCGCUUCGAGACGGGGUCGCGGCCUAUUAGCUUGUUGGUGAGGUAACGGCUCACCAAGGCGAUGAUGGGUAGCUGGUCUGAGAGGACGACCAGCCACACUGGGACUGAGACACGGCCCAGACUCCUACGGGAGGCAGCAGUGAGGAAUCUUCCGCAAUGGGCGAAAGCCUGACGGAGCAACGCCGCGUGUGGGAUGAAGGCUCUAGGGUUGUAAACCACUGUCGGAGGGACGAUCGUGACGGUACCCUCCAAGAAAGCCCCGGCUAACCUACGCGCCAGCAGCCGC